CCUACGGGUGGCAGCAGUGAGGAAUAUUGGUCAAUGGUCGCGAGCCUGAACCAGCCAAGUAGCGUGAAGGAUGACUGCACUACGUGUCGUAAACUUCUUUUAUCAAGGAAUAAAGUCAGGCACGCGUGCCCUGUUGUGUGUACUUUAUGAAAAAGGAUCGGCUAACUCCGUGCCAGCAGCCGCGGUAAUACGGAGGAUCCGAGCGUUAUCCGGAUUUAUUGGGUUUAAAGGGUGCGUAGGCGGAAUGCCAAGUCAGCGGUAAAAUCGCGGGGCUCAACCUCGCUCCGCCGUUGAAACUGGCGGUCUUGAGUGGGCGAGAAGUAUGCGGAAUGCGCGGUGUAGCGGUGAAAUGCAUAGAUAUCACGCAGAACUCCGAUUGCGAAGGCAGCAUGCCGGCGCCAAACUGACGCUGAAGCACGAAAGCGUGGGUAUCGAACAGGAUUAGAUACCCGUGUAGUC
rnacentral:rRNA from 1 species